rnacentral:rRNA from 1 species
UACGAAGGGGGCAAGCGUUGUCCGGAUUUACUGGGCGUAAAGAGCGCGCAGGCGGUCGUCCAAGUCGCGUGUGAAAGCCCCCGGCUCAACUGGGGAGGGUCACGCGAUACUGGUCGACUCGAAGGCAGGAGAGGGUAGUGGAAUUCCCGGUGUAGUGGUGAAAUGCGUAGAUAUCAGGAGGAAUACCGGUGGUGUAGACGGCUCUCUGGACCGCCACUGACGCUGAGACACGAAAGCGUGGGUAGCAAACAGG